UUUGCACGCAAUAACUUUGGGUCGGAGAACAAACGAGCAGUAUAAGAUCCCUCAGGAGCAUUAUUCUUCCUAUCGAUUAAAGUCUUUUCUAACUGACAAAGUCCUGAAGCUUGUCCAAAGCAAUGCAAGGUGUCAAGAUGACAAAAACCUUUACCGGUUUGAUAGACGACAAAGCGCAAGCAGUCUUCAUCACAAUCGACGUCAAUAUGAAUUAAGUGUUGAACAGCACCAGAAGAUGCGCCCUUGUACCACAAGCCACGUUUGCGGGAUUGAUAAACUCCAGUGCCAGUCUUCAAAGACUCAGCAACGCUUUCCUUGCUAGAAUACACGAGACCAAGUGCAAUACCGAGCUCAUUGACGACUAAAGUAGAAAAUAGUCCAUCCUCACGAUCAGUAUUGGCAGAUAUCAAAAUGAGAUCAGCUAAUGAUAACUUCUUGGGCUCUUCGGCAGGCUUCACUGUCAAGAAAGAACUUGACAGAACGGGAACGACAGAGUGAACAGAAAAAGAUUUCAGUACCUCCAUAGAUGGUUGUUCGGGGAACUCCAAAUAUAAAGUUCGGCCUCCACCCUCAGGCAUUACAGCUUUGUGAAUGAUCUUGCUGGCUCUUUCAAAAAAGUCAGGGGGAUAAUUCUCAGCACUGCCGAUCCAUUGAAUAGAACCAGCAACUUGUGAAAGUUUUUCAAUUUUUCCAAUAUCAGUAGUGUCUGUCUUCAAAACCAAACGAUUCGGAGAGA